AUUGAACGCUGGCGGCAUGCCUAACACAUGCAAGUCGAACGCGUGGCGGGCGGGUGAAUAAUGUCUGGGAAACUGCCUGAUGGGGGGGGAUCACUACUGAAAACUGUAGCUAAAACCGCAAAACCUCAUGUGUGCCCAGAUGGGUUUAGCUAGUUGGUGGGGUAACGGCUCACCAAGGCGACGAUCCCUAGCUGGUCUGAGAGGAUGACCAGCCACACUGGAACUGAGACACGGUCCAGAGUCCUACGGGAGGCAGCAGUGGGUAAUAUUGCACAAUGGGCGCAAGCCUGAUGCAGCCAUGCCGCGUGUAUGAAGAAGGCCUUCGGGUUGUAAAGUACUUUCAGCGGGGAGGCGUUACCCGCAGAAGAAGCACCGGCUAACUCCGUGCCAGCCGCCGCGGUAAUUC
rnacentral:rRNA from 1 species